rnacentral:lncRNA from 1 species
CCAGUGACUGUGAUUGUGUGCGCGUGCGUGUAUUUAUUCUUACACCAAACCUGCAUUAAUUCACUGACUCUUUUUAUUUCAGCAGGCGAUAUGCUGCAGUAACCCAGGUCAGUCACGAGAUGGUAGUCUAGGCAAAGUUAAGGAAGUCCGGAAAGCGUGCUCUAAUGUUCGUAUCUGGAAGUGGCGUUCUGGGUUGUUUAUAUAUUGGACACAACAGAACUCCCUUUUUUCUGAGAGUCUUUUGAGUUGUUAGUUUGAGAGCAGGGAAAAUGCUGACAGAAGAAAUCAGGUCUUCCUCCCUGCAUGUGUUCACUCUGCCUGCAAACGACGUGUCCUGUAAUGUAUUACGGAGCCACUUAUCACUUGAGGCAAGAUGGUGGAGAAGAGCCUGUCCUCAUGUCCCAGCAGUCCACGGGCUGAAGAGCAGAGCUGCUGCAGGAGUAAAUGCAUUGCUAUUUAUCAAAACAGCAGCAUUCGAUGAAUUGCUUUUUAUUGACAGACCCCUGAUUUUUGUCUCCAGAACUACAGUGAAAUCUAAAAUGGAGGCUAAAAAUACGAGGCCAUCUCUCUUGGUUAGGGUUAGAGUGGUGGGAUAUUAA